GGACGAACGCUGGCGGUAUGCCUUAAGCAUGCAAGUCGAACGGUUUUGUCGCAAGACAAGACAGUGGCGGACGGGUGAGUAUAAAUAAGGAACGUACCCUGAAGUGGGGGAUAGCUCGCCGAAAGGCGGGGUAACCCUGCAUAUUAUCGUAAGAUCAAAGAGCGUAACUGCUCGCUUUAGGAGCGGCCUUAUUCCUAUCAGCUAGUCGGUGAGGUAAUAGCUCACCAAGGCUAUGACGGGUAGGGGGCGUGAGAGCGUGACCCCCCACAAUGGCACUGAGACACGGGCCAUACACCUACGGGUGGCAGCAACUGGGAAUAGUUGUCAAUGGGCGAAAGCCUGAACACGCGAUACCGCGUGAAGGAUGAAGUAUUUCGGUAUGUAAACUUCUUUUGCCAAGCAAUCGAAGCUUGGAGAAUAAGCACCUACUAACUACGUGCCAGCAGUCGCGGUAAUACGUAGGGUGCAAGCGUUGUCCGGAUUCACUGGGCGUAAAGUGUCGCGUAGGCGUUUUUACAAGUCUUCUUUUAAAUCGUGAGGCUCAACCUCACCAAGGGAGAAGAUACUGUAAAAAUUUGAAGGGGAAAGAGGUACCUGGAACUCGCAGUGAAGUAGUGAAAUGCGUUGAUAUUGCGAGGAACACCAAAGGCGAAGGCAAGGUACUGGUUCUCACUUGACGCUGAGGCACGAAAGCCAAGGGAGCGAAGCAGAUUAGAGACCUGCGUAGUCUUGGCCCUAAACGCAUGGAUGCUAGUUGCCUCGAUUUUAUCGAGGUGACGUAAGCUAACGCGUUAAGCAUCCCGCCUGGGGACUACGAUCGCAAGAUUAAAACUCAAAGGAAUUGACGGGGACCCGCACAACCAGUGGAGCAUGUGGUUCAAUUCGAGACGAAGCGAAAGACCUCACCAGGGUUUGACAUGUACCUGCAUACUUAAGAAAUUAAGUAGCCUUCGAGGGUGGUACAAAGCUGCUGCAUGGCUGUCGUCAGCUCGUGCCGUGGGGUGUUGGCUUAAGUGCCAGAACGAGCGCAACCCCCAUCUAAUGUUAGAUAUUCAUUAGAGACUGCCCUGCCGAUUCGGCGGGGAGGAAGGAGGGGACGACGUCAAGUCAGCACGGCGCUUAUGCCCUGGGCGACACACAUCCUACAAUGGCGAAGAACAACGAGAUGCAAGGUAGCGAUACCAAGCCAAUCUCUAAAAUUUCGCCUCAGUUCAGAUUGCAGUCUGCAACUCGACUGCAUGAAGCCGGAAUUGGUAGUAAUCGCGGA
rnacentral:rRNA from 1 species